rnacentral:rRNA from 1 species
UACAGAGGGGGCGAGCGUUGUUCGGAAUUACUGGGCGUAAAGCGUGCGCAGGCGGUUAUGCAAGACAGAUGUGAAAUCCCCGGGCUCAACCUGGGAACUGCAUUUGUGACUGCAUGGCUAGAGUACGGUAGAGGGGGAUGGAAUUCCGCGUGUAGCAGUGAAAUGCGUAGAUAUGCGGAGGAACACCGAUGGCGAAGGCAAUCCCCUGGACCUGUACUGACGCUCAUGCACGAAAGCGUGGGGAGCAAACAGG